rnacentral:rRNA from 1 species
GACGAACCGUGCGAACGUUGUUCGGAAUCACUGGGCUUAAAGGGCGCGUAGGCGGCCUGCCAAGUCAGGGGUGAAAGCCCCCAGCUCAACUGGGGAAGUGCCUUUGAUACUGGCGGGCUCGAGCGAGGUAGGGGUCGUGGGAACUUCCGGUGGAGCGGUGAAAUGCGUUGAUAUCGGAAGGAACGCCGGUGGCGAAAGCGCACGACUGGACCUCUCCUGACGCUGAGGCGCGAAAGCCAGGGGAGCAAACGGG